rnacentral:rRNA from 1 species
CCUACGGGUGGCAGCAGUGAGGAAUAUUGGUCAAUGGACGAGAGUCUGAACCAGCCAAGUAGCGUGAAGGAUGACUGCCCUAUGGGUUGUAAACUUCUUUUAUAUGGGAAUAAAACGUUCCACGUGUGGGAUUUUGUAUGUACCAUAUGAAUAAGGAUCGGCUAACUCCGUGCCAGCAGCCGCGGUAAUACGGAGGAUCCGAGCGUUAUCCGGAUUUAUUGGGUUUAAAGGGAGAGUAGGUGGAUUGUUAAGUCAGUGGUGAAAGUUUGCGGCUCAACCGUAAAAUUGCAGUUGAAACUGGCAGUCGUGAGUACAGUAGAGGUGGGCGGAAUGCGUGGUGUAGCGGUGAAAUGCUUAGAUAUCACGAAGAACUCCGAUUGCGAAGGCAGCUCACUGGACUGCAACUGACACUGAGGCUCGAAAGUGUGGGUAUCAAACAGGAUUAGAUACCCCUGUAGUC